rnacentral:lncRNA from 1 species
CUCAAACUGUAUUUGAGGGCAGUGAGGGUAAAUAGUCCCCAGACCAGAAGAUGUUCCCUCGGUCACCUCCCACUCGCCCUGUCUGCUGACCUCCGGAGGAAAUUCAGCCCUGCAGUUAACAUCUGUGGUCCAAGCAGCCGGGCUGGAGUAAAAGUGCCGUAACUACCCUGGAACUGAGGAGCUUGACCACCUGGAGGACGAACCUUCUCCAGGGCACAGGACAAAGGAACCUAGUGGUCCAUGCCUUCCACCCUGAAUUGCUUGUAUUCACUGAGGACAGCAAAGAACAGGAAUUGAACAUGCUGAUGUCUGGCCCUAAAGGCUACAGUGUGAAACAGGCUCUGCCAUAAGCUCAUUAUAACACUUGGAUAAAGACCGCCCUCUCAAGUCUUAGUCUCCUCAUCUGCAAGACAGAAAAAUUACGACCAUCAUCAUAGUAUGGUUGUGAGAAUUCAAGGAUCUAGUGAACCUGGCACGUGUCAAAUGCUUGGGAAAUGUUAGUUAUUAUCACCAUCGCUAG